AUUUUUAUACAUUGAAUGAUAUUGCUCUAUGAUAAGCAUGCAUACUUAUUAGUAACCAUUUAUAUAGUUUUUCUGUAUACAUGCAGUAUUAAACAAUGUAAUAAUAAGAAGUUUCUAUAUUUUUACAUAUAUACUAUUCAAUGCAGGAAAAAAUUUAAGAUUGUAGAGCUUGAGCACAGAGUACGUCAGCACGUGGGUUGAAACUAUAUUGAAAAGUAAUGGUAAACAACACGCGUGUGAAGUAACCUAACCUCAAAACUGUUACGCUCAACAGUCAUUUUCCAUAUCAUGCCGGUGGUACGUGAUAUUCUGUCUAAUACUGAUAAAAGUACUUUUUUAUCCACACUUUGUGAAUAAUUUUUCAUUAAAAGACCAUAAGGCAUUGUGUAGUAACAUAUAUGCCUUAGACAAUCAGUAAAAAGAGUUUUACACGUUAUGAAAUUGUAAUUUGAGGUUGACUUUGCCAAAAGAUUUAUUUUAUAAUAAAUAAUAAGUUUAUUAAUGCUCUGUGAAUAAAGUAAAAAUGAAUGAAGUAAUACAUUGGUGGAAUAUUACAAAAUGUUUGUCAAAAUUCGACGGAAAAGGAGCUAAUAGCUAUAGAAUGUACUUUGUAGAACGCUGUAGACGAAUGUCUCAAGAACUAGAACUACCAAAAAAAAUUUUUGGACCAUCAGUUAUGUGUUCGCACUGUGGUUCUCUUUGGUCAAAAAAUGAAUCUCAGACUAGAAUUAAACCAGCUAACGCUUGCUCAAAAUCAGUAAAACAAAUAAUUAGGUCAAGUGCUGAAGACAAUAGACUAUCCAGGUUUAGAGCGACUUUACUAAAGAAAAGCUUAAAAAACAGGAUGAACAAAGUGGUGAAAAAGUGUUCAGUAUGUUCUAAAGAUACUGAAAUCAGUAUUACUAAACCAAAAAGGCCAAAGCUUGUUGAAGAAAGUACAGAAAAAAAUGACAACACAGCUCAUCAUAAGAAAAAAAAAAAGAAAGUAAAAGAUAAAAGUGCUGGUUUAGACUUAUCGGGUUUCAAUACACCCGAUGCAAGAGAGAAAAAAAAAAUACCUUUGGUUUCAACACCUAUUACAGUAAAAGUAAAAAAACCAUACAAAAGAGAAAUAACACCACUACAAAAAGUGAAAAAAUUAAAUAUAAAUAAAUUAAAUAAUAUUCUAAACAACAGUAAAGCUAAAAAAUCAAAGAGUAGUCUAAGCAAUUUUCUUGAAGAACUUUAUUAACUAAGAAAAAGGUCAAUGCAGUAUAUAUCUACAAAUUGAUGUGAGAAAGAGAAAUCAAGCCGUUCAUGGAGAAGACGUGGCUUGAAGAGGAUAACAAGGACAAAAAAAGAAGCAAUGAGACAGUGAGGGAUCACCUGAAUGCAUGCGUCGAGAUCGCGACCGUACCAAUUGGCCGGUAACUUCAAACCCGCACGAAGUACACAUGCCUCGAGGUCAUCGAUUGUCAGCAAAGCUAAUGGUUCGAGAUGGGACUCGCGCACCUUGCGCACCAGGUACUCGAUAUAGUGGAUUCUGAGUUUUACCAUUCAAAAAAGCAUUUUUAUCGUUUCAAUGAAUUAUUGAUGACUUAACUAUGACAUUAUACUGACGUUUGAAAAUCUUUGUUUUAUUUGACAAAUGAGCUUUUAUUUUUAUAAAAUGAUUAUGAACUUUCGGACGUCGCUUGAUGUCUAAUUAAAGUUCUCUGGUAAAUCAUGAAAUUAUUUUUUCCACCAGAACUGUAAAUUGUUAUCCGAAAAUUUACAAUGUAUGUAUUAUGAAAAAGAGGAAUUUAAUUUUGUAUUUAUACAAUAAGAAACAAUCUAUAUUUGUU